rnacentral:rRNA from 1 species
CAGUCGCCACGGUAAUACGUAGGUGACGAGCGUUGUCCGGAAUUAUUGGGCGUAAAGGGAGCGCAGGCGGUUGGAAUAGUCUGAUGUGAAAGCCCACGGCUUAACCGUGGAAGGUCAUUGGAAACUGUCCAACUUGAAUGCAGAAGAGGAAAGUGGAAUUCCAUGUGUAGCGGUGAAAUGCGUAGAUAUAUGGAGGAACACCAGUGGCGAAGGCGACUUUCUGGUCUGUAACUGACACUGAGGCGCGAAAGCGUGGGGAGCAAACAGGAUUAGAUACCCCCGUAGUCCCUGUCUCUAUACA